CCUACGGGUGGCAGCAGUAGGGAAUCUUCCACAAUGGGCGAAAGCCUGAUGGAGCAACGCCGCGUGGGUGAAGAAGGUCUUCGGAUCGUAAAACCCUGUUGUUAGAGAAGAAAGUGCGUGAGAGUAACUGUUCACGUUUCGACGGUAUCUAACCAGAAAGCCACGGCUAACUACGUGCCAGCAGCCGCGGUAAUACGUAGGUGGCAAGCGUUAUCCGGAUUUAUUGGGCGUAAAGGGAACGCAGGCGGUCUUUUAAGUCUGAUGUGAAAGCCUUCGGCUUAACCGGAGUAGUGCAUUGGAAACUGGGAGACGUGAGUGCAGAAGAGGAGAGUGGAACUCCAUGUGUAGAGGUGAAAUGCGUAGAUAUAAGGAAGCAGACCAGUGGCGAAAGCGGCUCUCGGGUCUGUAACGGACGCUGAGGUUCGAAAGCGUGGGUAGCAAACAGGAUUAGAUACCCUGGGAGUC
rnacentral:rRNA from 1 species